rnacentral:pre_miRNA from 14 species
UUUUAAGUUGUACUCUUGCUGUUCCCUAACACCCCUUCCUCUGAAAGACCCCCAGAGCAGGGAGACCCUCACUCAAGUCUCGGGAUGACGCAGCCCCCCAAGAACUCACACAAGACC